rnacentral:rRNA from 1 species
AUUGAACGCUGGCGGCAUGCUUUACACAUGCAAGUCGAGCGGCAGCGCGGGGGCAACCCUGGCGGCGAGCGGCGAACGGGUGAGCAAUGCAUCGGAACGUACCCUGGAGUGGGGGAUAACGCCGCGAAAGCGGCGCUAAUACCGCAUAUGCUCUGAGGAGGAAAGUGGGGGACCGCAAGGCCUCACGCUCUGGGAGCGGCCGAUGUCCGAUUAGCUAGUUGGUGGGGUAAAGGCUUACCAAGGCGACGAUCGGUAGCUGGUCUGAGAGGAUGAUCAGCCACACUGGGACUGAGACACGGCCCAGACUCCUACGGGAGGCAGCAGUGGGGAAUUUUGGACAAUGGGGGCAACCCUGAUCCAGCCAUGCCGCGUGAGUGAAGAAGGCCUCGGUUGG